UUAAGAUGGAACAUUAGUCUUUAUUGAUUUUAUUUUCAUGUAAACUGCUACCUAAACAGGAUGUUGUUUGCAGGGUUGCUUCUUGGAUUGUGCGAUUGAGGUACAGUCAUUUCUGCCGGUCAAUUAGCUUCUUGGAUUCUUUUUUAUUUUACCUAAUUGUGCCAAGGCUUGAAAUUUGAUGCAACCUUUUGGUGGUGGAAACUUUUUUUUUCGCUUGUACUGUGCAUUCGAUGACAUGAAGCUGUAUGCUCAGCAAUGAAAGAUGGUUAGGAAUCAUUGAAUCUAUUUGUAAAGUUGAGGAAAAGUCCUGGUGUGAUAUUCGCCUUUGUAGGUCAACCUUCACAAAGUGGAUGUGGACUAUGAUCUCAAGGCUUCUUUCCAGGAGAGAAUUGAUGCAAAUUGAUAUUACCUGAUUGUCGGAUUGCUUUUACAAUCUGAGAUCAGUUGAGUUUUGAGGGGAUUUUUGUUGCAUGCGGAUGCAUCUGGCAACGCCACAAAGGUGUAGGAAAGGAUUGAUGAGAGAGCAUACGGUCGUGGGAGAUGAAGGCGGCAUCGCAUAUGGAAUGGCUUUGGGAUUCAGUAUGGUAACAUCGACACUAUAAAUACCAUCAACAUCUUUAAAUAUGUAUAUAUAUAUUAUAUU